GUCCACGCCCUAAACGAUGGAUACUCGACAUACGCGAUACACUGUGUGUGUCUGAGCGAAAGCAUUAAGUAUCCCACCUGGGAAGUACGUUCGCAAGAAUGAAACUCAAAGGAAUUGGCGGGGGUCCGCACAAGCGGUGGAGUAUGUGGUUUAAUUCGAUGAUACGCGAGGAACCUUACCUGGGCUAGAAUGCUGGGAGACCGCUAGUGAAAGCUAGUUUUGUAGCAAUACACUGCCAGUAAGGUGCUGCAUGGCCGUCGU
rnacentral:rRNA from 1 species